GACGAACGCUGGCGGCGUGCCUAACACAUGUAAGUCGCACGGGACUGGAGGGCAACUUCCAGUUCAGUGGCAGACGGGUGCGUAACACGUGAGGAACUUGUCCAACGGCGGGGGAUAGCCGGCCCAACGGCCGGGUAAUACCGCAUACGAUCGUUCGGGGGCAUCCCUGAACGAGGAAAGCAGCCGCAAGGUUGCGCCGAUGGAGGGUCUCGCGGCCUAUCAGCUAGUUGGCGGGGUAAGGCCCACCAAGGCGACGACGGGUAGCUGGUCUGAGAGGAUGGCCAGCCACAUUGGGACUGAGACACGGCCCAGACUCCUACGGGAGGCAGCAGUGGGGAAUCUUGCGCAAUGGCCGCAAGGCUGACGCAGCGACGCCGCGUGUGGGACGACGGCCU
rnacentral:rRNA from 1 species